rnacentral:rRNA from 1 species
AUUGAACGCUGGCGGCAUGCCUUACACAUGCAAGUCGAACGGUAACAGGUCUUCGGAUGCUGACGAGUGGCGAACGGGUGAGUAAUACAUCGGAACGUGCCUAGUAGUGGGGGAUAACUACUCGAAAGAGUGGCUAAUACCGCAUGAGAUCUACGGAUGAAAGCAGGGGAUCGCAAGGCCUUGUGCUACUAGAGCGGCCGAUGGCAGAUUAGGUAGUAGGUGGGAUAAAAGCUUACCAAGCCGACGAUCUGUAGCUGGUCUGAGAGGACGAUCAGCCACACUGAGACUGAGACACGGCCCAGACUCCUACGGGAGGCAGCAGUGGGGAAUUUUGGACAAUGGGCGCAAGCCUGAUCCAGCAAUGCCGCGUGCAGGAUGAAGGCCUUCGGGUUGUAAACUGCUUUUGUACGGAACGAAAAGCCCUGGGUUAAUACCCUGGGGUCAUGACGGUACCGUAAGAAUAAGCACCGGCUAACUACGUGCCAGCCGCCGCGGUAAAAC